CCUACGGGGGGCAGCAGUGGGGAAUAUUUGGCAAUGGAGGCAACUCUGACCCAGCAACGCCGCGUGAAUGAUGAAGGUCUUCGGAUUGUAAAGUUCUGUGAUGGGGGAUGAAAACAAGAACGUUACCCCAAUAGCAAGCCACGCCUAAUCACUGCCAGCCAGCCGCGGUAAUACGUAGGUGGCAUCCGUUAUCGGGAAUGACUGGGGGUAAAGGGGGCGUAGGGGGUUUAGUAAGUUGGCGUUUUAAUUCCGGGGCUCAACCUCGGCGCUACCGCCAAAACUAUUAGACAGGAGAGCAGGAGGGGUAAGUGGAAUUCCUGGUGUAGCGGUGGAAUGGGUAGAUAUUAGGAGGAACAUCAGGGGCGAAGGCGACUUACUGGACUGUAACUGACACUGAGGCACGAAAGCGUGGGGAGCAAACAGGAUUAGAAACCCUAGUAGC
rnacentral:rRNA from 1 species